UACGGAGGGUGCAAGCGUUAUCCGGAUUUACUGGGUUUAAAGGGUGCGUAGGCGGGCUUUUAAGUCAGCGGUGAAAUCUCCGGGCUCAACCCGGAAAUUGCCGUUGAUACUAUUAGUCUUGAAUUAAGUUGAGGUGGGCGGAAUAAGUCAUGUAGCGGUGAAAUGCUUAGAUAUGACUUAGAACACCGAUUGCGAAGGCAGCUCGCUAAACUUAUAUUGACGCUGAGGCACGAAAGCUAGGGGAGCAAACAGG
rnacentral:rRNA from 1 species